rnacentral:ncRNA from 1 species
GCAACUUGCUAGCGGGUGCACCUUCUAUAUUUAAGUAUGGAAGAGGCUGAGAUUAUACCGUUCGGACUUGAUCAAGUUAGUACUUGUGUGAGGAGGCUAAUGUUGCAUCUG